AAAAAAAAAAAAAAAAAAAAAAAAAAAAAAAAAAAAAAAAAAAAAAAAGAAAAAGAAAAGAAAAAAAACCUUGAAAAAAUAAUUCCUUUGGAUUAAGACACUGUCAACCAGCAACGUGAAAAUGCUCUUCUACAACAUUGUUACCAUCUAUGCAGACCUUAGCUUCUUGCCUGUGGGUCAUCUGAAAUCUCCUUAUCAAAAUGAAUUGUAAAACAUACAUUUGGAGAGAGGAAAGGGGAGUCCUGAGCUAGAACCUAGGCAGCAGUUCAUGAGAGUUGGGUGGGGACUAAGCUUCUAAGUCAACAAGAACACUGGGUGGAUUGGAUGGAUUUAGAAGAGGGUUCAACAUAAGUAAGGACAGUAAGUGAGAAGCAGAAAGAUUUAAAAAUCCAUUAGUUCCCAUCUACAAGGCACUGUCUAAUGCUCUUUUGAGAUAUAGCUGCCUUCUUAAGAGUCUGGGGAGAGGAGAGUAAAGAUCAUGCAAUUUUUUGUACUUCCAGUCAGAGGGAUUGCCCAUAACCAAGGAGAAGGAUAAAAAUGUAACAAAAAUCUUUGCAGUGCCAGUGACUGGAUGUAGACUUAUUGGUUUCUGCAGCCAGGCCUCACGAACUGGUAUACCACUCUCAAUAUAUCAGAUCAGGUGAUUUGUUAAUAUCCGAUCCCCUCAAAUCCUUAUAGAGGACAGUCAAUGAUCAAUUGUUAAUUUCACUUUCUUUGUGUGUGUGUGGGAAACUGAAAGACAAGUGUAAGAAAGCUUUUUCCAAAGUUGCAGAUAACUCCAGAGGCAGAGCCAGGAAUAGACAACCGUUUUUCAUACAAACUUCAAUUUCCAUUCAGGCCUAGUCCUGCCAGUUGCGAAGUGAUCUGGAGCAUGGUCAGUCCGCGUGGACUAAGUGAGCAUGCUCAGCACUUUCUGCAGGCAUUAGCAUCUCCUGUGACAAAGAUUGCCUCUGCGGGUAGAAAGGCUGUCAGACUGAGGCUGAAGCUAAAGAGCAUCCUUUCUUGCUACCAUAAUACCCUGUGUAACUUUGCUACGUGGAUAAAUAGGAAAACAGGCAACAUGAAGCAAGGAAGCUUUGAUGAAAGAAUCUACACAGGAAAAAAAAAAGCCAAAUCAAGAUACUACAUACAUUACAUGAAUAUAAGGUAA
rnacentral:lncRNA from 1 species